rnacentral:rRNA from 1 species
UGGCGGCGUGCUUAACACAUGCAAGUCGAGCGAAGCGAUCUUCAAGGCAAGUUUUCGGGACGUGAAUAUGAAAUUGACUGAGCGGCGGACGGGUGAGUAACGCGUGGGUAACCUGCCUCAUACAGGGGGAUAACAGUUGGAAACGACUGCUAAUACCGCAUAAGCACACAGUGCCGCAUGGUACGGUGUGAAAAACUCCGGUGGUAUGAGAUGGACCCGCGUCUGAUUAGGUAGUUGGUGAGGUAACGGCCCACCAAGCCGACGAUCAGUAGCCGACCUGAGAGGGUGAUCGGCCACAUUGGAACUGAGACACGGUCCAGACUCCUACGGGAGGCAGCAGUGGGGAAUAUUGCGCAAUGGGGGAAACCCUGACGCAGCAACGCCGCGUGAAUGAAGAAGGCCUUAGGGUUGUAAAGUUCUGUUUUCUGGGACGAUAAUGACGGUACCAGAGGAGGAAGCCACGGCUAACUACGUGCCAGCAGCCGCGGUAAUACGUAGGUGGCAAGCGUUGUCCGGAUUUACUGGGCGUAAAGGAUGCGGUAGGCGGAUGUUUAAGUGAGAUGUGAAAUACCCCGAGCUCAACUUGGGUGCUGCAUUUCAAACUGGAUAUCUAGAGUGCAGGAGAGGAAAGC